AAGAGAUGUAAAUAAUUAAAACUGCUAAUUUUAAGUUACUAAAGAUAAAAUCCUUAGGUCUCUUA
rnacentral:tRNA from 1 species